rnacentral:rRNA from 1 species
CCCCUAGAUGUUCUGGGCCGCACGCGCGCUACACUGACCAGUGCAACAAGCAUCCGUCCUUGGCCGACAGGCUCGGGCAAUCUUUGAACGCUGGUCGUGAUGGGGAUAGACUUUUGCAAUUUUUGGUCUUCAACGAGGAAUUCCUAGUAAACGCAAGUCAUCAACUUGCAUUGAUUACGUCCCUGCCCUUUGUACACACCGCCCGUCGCUCCUACCGAUUGAAUGGUCCGGUGAAGCGUUCGGACCGUGGCCUUUGGACGGUUCGCCGUCUGUUGGCUGCGGGAAGUUCGUUAAACCUUAUCAUUUAGAGGAAGGAGAAGUCGUAACA